rfam:Candidatus Altiarchaeales archaeon A3 Ga0073111_1102, whole genome shotgun sequence.
GGGCUUGUAGCUCAGUUUGGCAGAGCGACGGACUUUUAAUCCGUCUGCCGCGGGUUCAAAUCCCGUCAAGCCCG